UAGAAUAUUGAAGGAGCUUGGAGAUGGAACAUGUGGUAAUGUAUAUAAGGCCAUUAAUACCGAAACAUCUGAAAUUGUUGCAGUAAAGAAAAUGAAGAGGAAGUUCUAUUUUUGGGAAGAAUGCAUUAAUCUACGUGAAAUAAAGUCCCUCCGUAAAUUGAAUCAUCCUAACAUCAUCAAACUGAAAGAGAUUGUCAGGGAAAACAAUGAGCUUUUCUUCAUACUUGAGUACAUGGAAUGUAACUUGUACCAACUAAUGAAAGAUCGGCAAAGACCUUUCCUAGAGGAAGAGAUUCGAGGAUUGAUGUCUCAGGUGUUGCAAG
rnacentral:misc_RNA from 1 species